CCCCACNUGAANGNAAUGACGGCCUUNCGNNUUGUAAACCUCUUUCGGUAGGGACCAANCGACAAGUGNCGGUACCUGCNGAAGAAGCACCGGCCAACUACGUGCCAGCAGCCGCGUUAAUACGUAGGGUGCAAGCGUUGUCCGGNUUUAUUGGGCGUAAAGAGCUCGUAGGCGGCGUGUCCCGUNUAAAGUGAAAACCAUGGGCUNAACCCGUGGCUUGCUUUCGGUACGGGCAUGCUUGAGUGUGAUAGGGGAGUCUGGAAUUCCUGGUGUAGCNGUGAAAUGCGCAGAUAUCAGGAGGAACACCGGUGGCGAANGCNGGACUCUGGGCCAUUACUGACGCUGAAGGAGCGAAAGCGUGGGGCAGCGAACAGGAUUAGAUACCCUGGNAGGUCCAAGGGCG
rnacentral:rRNA from 1 species